rnacentral:rRNA from 1 species
ACUACGGGUGGCAGCAGUGGGGAAUAUUGCACAAUGGGGGAAACCCUGAUGCAGCGACGCCGCGUGAGUGAAGAAGUAUUUCGGUAUGUAAAGCUCUAUCAGCAGGGAAGAAAAUGACGGUACCUGAUUAAGAAGCCCCGGCUAACUACGUGCCAGAAGCCGCGGUAAUACGUAGGGGGCAAGCGUGAUCCGGAUUUACUGGGUGUAAAGGGAGCGUAGACGGCAGCACAAGUCUGGAGUGAAAUGCCGGGGCUUAACCCCGGCACUGCUUUGGAAACUGUGCAGCUAGAGUGCCGGAGAGGUCAGUGGAAUUCCUAGUGUAGCGGUGAUAUGCGUAGAUAUUAGGAGGAACACCAGUGGCGAAGGCGGCUUACUGGACUGUAACUGACGUUGCGGCUCGAAAGCGUGGGGAGCAAACAGGAUUAGAUACCCCAGUAGUC